GCUUAGUUGGUAAAGCACAAGGCUCUUAACCUUGUGGACGUGGGUUCAAGCCCCGU
rnacentral:tRNA from 1 species